UUACACUCGCCGCGUCCUGGUGCCCGCAGAGCCGAUCUGCAGUUAAACGGGAAGCAGGGAGCGGCCGCCCCAAGCGGUGCGCCAACCUGCGCUGCCCCCGCAACGGUAAGCGAACGCCGUCGAAGGCCGCGUCACCUCUGGCCACAAGAGGGUGCGGCGUCGCGCAGGUCCGUCCACAUGCCACUGUUCCGCGGAAUGGGAAGGCGGACGGCCCCGGUUCGCCAGCCCGGAUACCGGCCAGGACAGUGGGUUUCAGG
rnacentral:ncRNA from 1 species